AUAGGGUGAAAAGCUCAGCCAUUCGUGAGGAGCUCGGAGUAGAGCCGCUGCUCCUUUGCGUCGAAAGGAGCCAGUUGAGGUGGUUUGGGCAUCUGGUGAGGAUUCCCCCUGGGCAAACGCUAUGUCUGAUUGUCACAAAAUUUUCUGUGGACACUUAUCGGGUCUGGGUUUAAUCAAGACUUUACCUCCUAGGGAGACUGCGCUCUGCUGCUGCAGUACCGACAGUGGCCGGUGGCGCCGUUUCACCACAAGUGGGAAAAGUCCACAAUAGCCGUAGAAAAUCCUAGACAUCAUAGAAUAUCAUAAAGAUUAUAGAGAAUUAAAGAAAAUGAGGAACGCUUCACGAAUUUGCGUGUCAUCCUUGCGCAGGGGCCAUGCUAAUCUUCUCUGUAUCGUUCCAAUUUUAGUAUAUGUGCUAUCGAAAUAACACAACAGACCAUCGGUGCUGAGGGGUAUUUAAAGGCUUGUGACAUGGACGAAUCCACCAUCACGGUGUCUCCUCUGUGGAGCACCUGGGGGAGUCAGAAACCAUGUUUCUGUGUCUCUGUCUAGGCCCAGAACACAACUACUAAGAGGUCUGGCUCCUGUGCAGUGAACCCCGACCAUUCCACCGGCUCCAGAACCUGAUCCGGCCCGCUUCAGGUCCCGUCUACUCUGCUGAGGAGCUCAAGAGGAUGCUGGGAAAUCUAGUCAGCCACCGCCGAUGUCACGGGAUUGUGUAUGUGCGCAGCAGAGACAGACAGAGGAUGAAAGCUGCUGCUGCUGCAUCCACCACCUCCACCUCCAGCAGCAGCGCAGCCGCUGCAUCGGCCGCAAGCCAGAGAGCCACGAGUGCAUCACAGCCUCUUGGUCCAGCGCUUGUGGCGUUUGUCUCCAUCUGCUGUGAUGAGAUGCAGGCCCAGGUGAAGAAGCUGGUGGCCCCUAAGCCUGCAUCUACAGGCCCAGAACACAACUACUAAGAGGUCUGGCUCCUGUGCAGUGAACCCCGACCAUUCCACCGGCUCCAGAACCUGAUCCGGCCCGCUUCAGGUCCCGUCUACUCUGCUGAGGAGCUCAAGAGGAUGCUGGGAAAUCUAGUCAGCCACCGCCGAUGUCACGGGAUUGCUGCUCAGAUGAACAGACGCAGAGGAACAUCUGCUCACCUUCUCCAGACCACACUGCUGUGAGUGUCGCUGUGAACAAACGCUGCUCUUCAUGUUCACAUGAUGAGGGUUCUUCCUGCUUUUUGUUUUCCUAAAAACCAGAACACAGGUGCAGCUUCACAAAGGACCAGCAGGUGUCGCCCUACGACCGCUCCAUGGAAAGACUUGGCGGGUUGAUAAUGUGAGCGGUCUAAAGCCUCGCGCAGUUGAGUAGGACCACUUUAGGCCCGCGUGUCCUGCGGCGGCAGCGGAGCCUCCACUCCUCCCUGGAGAUCCUCUGGUUCACCGCGGGGUCCGUCAGUCCAACCAUCCCGUGCUUCCCCUCCAGCUGGGACCGCUUAGCCUCUGCGAGACGGCGUGCAUCUCCGGCGUCCACCUCAAAGAUGCAGUUAGACAGCUGCCUCAUGAAGGUGGGGUACAGCUCGUGACUCUCGGUGUUGACACCUGAUGCGAAGCGUCGCAUCAGGUGCCAGAUGUCCAGUCUCACGGCGAGAUGCUCCCACUCCAGCGAAACAAUCAAAACGUGUAAGUCUACAAUCACGGUGCUGAUGCAGCACAACUGUCAACAGUGUCCUUUUCACACCUGAAACAAGACAGCUGUCUUUGACACGCCGUCCCUGUUGCAGCAGUCGCGGUCCACGUAGAUCAGCUGGGGGGGAGGUACCCCGCGGAGUCGGUACCGCCUCAUCAAGCCGGCGGCCAUCCUGGAAAGGCCCCCGGCGCUCUCGGUGGAGGUGAGGACGCUCAUGAGGACCUGCCCGUGCUCAUUGCCGACGUUGGUAGCCCAGGCGGCCGUGUCGGAGGAGAUACCCGCGAGCUUCUUUGUCACCUGCAGAGAGAUACUGAGAGUUAAUGUGAGAAACACACAGCAGCUGGAAGGAAAAGAAACUGACAGACUCCACUCGCCUUCUUGGUGGAGUCAGCAGCCAGACGGGGGAUGGCAGAGGGGGCAUCUGGGGCAGAGAUGGAAUCUGCCCCCUCGCCGAGCACAAGGCCAGGAAUCGCUCACACUCGCCGAGGUACUGGAUCGCUCUCCGCAUCCAGGCGUCCGAGUGCUGCUCCCGCAGGGUGUUGUACAGCUGGUUGGCACUGUUGCCCAGAGUGCGGGACCUCAGCUGUAUCACCACCCUCAUGUCACAGGACAGCCUGCAGAACGCCAACAUCAUGUAGAGCCGAGUCUGCACCUCCAACGGGACGUUCAACACAGUCAAAUGGUGAAGAAGGGGUCGGGGGAUGCGGGAGGAUGGUUGUAGACGGGCCGGGGUUGGGGGGGUGCCAACAGAGGUUGAGGUCACCGACGAGCCGAGGCCUCCACUGGCUGUCCCUGGUAGACGGCACCGGGCCGAUCCACUGCUGCUGCUCCACAGUGAGAGCUGCCCUCCAGGACCGAGGCAGCAACUGGUGAGACGACAACACACACACAAAUCUCCUGCGAGGCUUCCAGCAGCUCGUCCAGUAGAGCAGAGACACCAGCUCCUGGAGGAGGAGGUGCUGCUGAGGAGGAGGAGGAGGAGGAGGUGGCGACGGCAGCAGCGGGUGGUGGCAGGAGCAAAAAAAAAGGCCUUUGCAUCCGAGGCUUGAAGGUAAAGGAAAUGUUUGAGUAACGUAAAAGGUUAAGAUGAAUUAUUAUUAUUACUGUUAAUGCUGAGAGACCAACAAAGAUUGAGCUGCAUUUACACACCACAAGAGAAAAGGAGGUGGUUUUAAAGAGAGAAAGUGAGGGUGAGAUGAUAACUAGUUAGCCAUGCAGAUGUUGUUGAGUCAGCCAGGCGCUGAUGAAAGCACGGUGAAAAAGACGAUGUUAUUUGUAGAGGUGGGUUAUUGAUCCGAGAUGAUCAUCAGACAUCACAGCGUUCACGCAAAACUUACCAGUCAUCUGCUUUCGUCCUCUGAUCAAGAAACGUUUUAAAGUCAAAUAAAAAAAGCGUCAACAAUGAA